rnacentral:lncRNA from 1 species
CCUAGGCAACCUGACUAAGCCCCCAGCAUCCCUGGGCCACAUGCACCCGUGUCCCCCCCAGCUUGCCCUCCUCAGACAUGUGUAGAUAGUGUUGUCCACCAAAGCAACUGGGACCUCAGUGAAGAUGAGAUCCUCACACUGCUUCCGUACGUACCUAACAGAUCUCAGCAGAUGGCCUGCUGCUGCCUCUACACACAGGUGACACACGAGAGGACAGCCACUCAGUGCUCCGAAACUUUGCCCUCUUGCACAGAGCAACAGUUCCCGGAACUGCAUCCAGCGUGCCUUGAGGAUGAUCAUAGUUGUGGUUUCAGAGAUGCUCCAAUAGCAUUUAUAGAAUACUGUGAAAUUUACAGGUAAGCAUAGGAAUCUAUGCUUAAGAAAAUAUUCGUUUUGGACAAGUGAUCUAUCAGACAGAGUGACAGGAUUUGGAGAUGUGGGAGUGAGUUCAAAUAAUAAAGAAACAUCUCAUUGGGCAUUUU